AUUGAACGCUGGCGGCAGGCUUAACACAUGCAAGUCGAGCGGGGUGAGGUGCUUCGGUACUGAUCCUAGCGGCGGACGGGUGAGUAAUGCUUAGGAAUCUGCCUAUUAGUGGGGGACAACAUUCCGAAAGGAAUGCUAAUACCGCAUACGUCCUACGGGAGAAAGCAGGGGAUCUUCGGACCUUGCGCUAAUAGAUGAGCCUAAGUCGGAUUAGCUAGUUGGUGGGGUAAAGGCCUACCAAGGCGACGAUCUGUAGCGGGUCUGAGAGGACGAUCCGCCACACUGGGACUGGGACACGGCCCAGACUCCUACGGGAGGCAGCAGUGGGGAAUAUUGGACAAUGGGCGGAAGCCUGAUCCAGCCAUGCCGCGUGUGUGAAGAAGGCCUUUUGGUUGUAAAGCACUUUAAGCGAGGAGGAGGCUACCUAGAUUAAUACUCUGGGAUAGUGGACGUUACUCGCAGAAUAAGCACCGGCUAACUCUGUGCCAGCAGCCGCCGUAAUAC
rnacentral:rRNA from 1 species